AUUGUGGGGGGAAACCAAAGUACCCAGAGAAAACCCAUGCAUGCACAGGGAGAAUAUGUGAAAUCCAUGCACAAAGACCCAGGCUGGGGUCUGAACCUGGGACCUUCUAGCUGC